rnacentral:lncRNA from 1 species
CAAACCUGAGGUGUCUGAGAAGAGGGCCUCUGAGACAAAUGUUGAUGUAAAAAUAUUUUUCUUACAGUUUAUCAAGAAGGGGAUAUUGAAACUUGAAAAGCAAAAGUUUUUGGUCUAAACAACUAGAAGCUGAAAAUUGCCAAGAUGAGGAAAGACUACAGGAGAAGCAGGUUCUCUUUUAUACCUGAAUAUAAGAAACAAACUGAGGAAUGUAAUAACGAGCCCAAACUGGUUUCCUGGGAAAGGACAAGAAAGUAAAUGGAAAUGCUGGCCAGAGUAUGUUGCCACCCAAGGAGGACCCUGAUAGCAAGAAAUGGUUUUAUUUCCAGAAACCAGAAGGGGGUGGAAGCCAGCCUAUGAAUUUUUUUCUGGUCCAAGGUAAAGAAGAGCAUUUGAUUCAAAUCUUGUGGCA